rfam:Brachypodium distachyon strain Bd21 chromosome 2, whole genome shotgun sequence.
AUGUUACUCCCUCCGAUCCAUAUUACUUGUCGCAACUUUGUUUAAAUACGCAUGUACCUACACAAUGAAACACGUCUAGACAAAGCUGCGACAAGUAAUAUGGAUCGGAGGGAGUAUUUU